rnacentral:lncRNA from 1 species
AGGUCCAGCGCCCCUGGCGCCACCGCGACCCCCGCCCCGCCGCCCAGGCUGAGUAGUAGCGCCUGGCCCGCUAGGGUCUGCAGCCCCACGUGGGCCGAGGGGUAGAGGAGGAAAUUGAAGACGAAGGCGUUGGGACAGCGCCGCUGCUGCAGGAUGGUGUUUCCCUUCCUGUUUGCUGAUCCACUGGGGCUGUCCCAGAAAGAGAACUACAACGCUACUCUUUCCCAUGCCUUGCUUGUCCACAGGGGAAGCAAACUCCAUGUAACUAGUGCAAGCCUAAGACUCCAUGUUGUGAGGAAGCCCAAGGUAGCUACAGGAAGAGAAGCAGAUGCCUGAAGCUUCUGGCUGUUCAUCUAUUCAAGCCCAGGUACCAGAUUUGAAUGAAGAAGCUGUUAGAGGACUUCAUCCUUAGCUGCUCUGUGGCUGAAACUCUAUGAAGGACCCCAAGCUGAACAUACCAUCUGCAGAACCAUGGGUGAUGAAAAAGGCGUUGUGAAUGGCCCAGCAUUCCCUGUACUAAACUAAGGGUCUGACAUUGGAAUAAUGCAGAACACUUGAUUCAGGUCAUAGAAGAAGCAACACUUUGGGCACAGCACAACACAACCAAGUGAGCACUGGAAACCUGCUUCCCUGAGAUGGCAGCCAGGAAAUCGCUAUGCACCACUGAUGAUGAGGUGAGAUGCAGCAGAAAGUAUGGGUUGCAGCUGAAGAUAUCUAUGGCAUUGCAGCACAUUCUUCCUCAAACUUUGGAUUUUUGUCACUUAAGAAACAAUUUGCAGUCAAUGCCUGAAUAAACAACCCAGCUUACUCAAUUAUUGAAUAGUACAUGGAAAUUUCUAAUUGUAUUCUUUCAUACUGUAUUAUUCUGCUGAUUGGAAUUAAGAGAAAUGUAAUAUGAAAGAAUAUUGCUUCUUGGAUUUCAGAGUUUCAAAACCUUGCCUUUGUCCCCUUGGUGUUUCUUUGAUGUAUCUGUGCUUGAAGUUAUUUCUUUAAUUUGUUUCCGUUGGUUUAAGAAAGAUUAUAAUUCAAUGAACUAUUUUUUUUCUUC